AAACUUGAGAGUUUGAUCAUGGCUCAGAACGUACGCUGGCGGCACGCCUAACACAUGCAAGUCGAACGAAGUAGCAAUACUUAGUGGCAGACGGGUGAGUAACAUGUAGGUAUCUGCCCUUUGGCCUGGAAUAACACGAGGAAACUUGUGCUAAUACCGGAUAAGUCUUUACGGAGAAAGCUUUAUGCACCAUUGGAUGAGCCUGCACUUGAUUAGUUUGUUGGUGGGGUAAUGGCCUACCAAGACUGUGAUCAAUAGCUGAUUUGAGAGGAUGAUCAGCCACAUUGGGACUGAGACACGGCCCAAACUCCUACGGGAGGCAGCAGUGGGGAAUCUUGCACAAUGGAGGAAACUCUGAUGCAGCGAUGCCGCGUGAGUGAAGAAGGCCCUUGGGUUGUAAAGCUCUUUCGUCGGGGAAGAAAAUGACUGUACCCGAAUAAGAAGGUCCGGCUAACUUCGUGCCAGCAGCCGCGGUAAUACGAAGGGACCUAGCGUAGUUCGGAAUUACUGGGCUUAAAGAGUUCGUAGGUGGUUGAAAAAGUUAGUGGUGAAAUCCCAGAGCUUAACUCUGGAACUGCCAUUAAAACUUUUCAGCUAGAGUAUGAUAGAGGAAAGCAGAAUUUCUAGUGUAGAGGUGAAAUUCGUAGAUAUUAGAAAGAAUACCAAUUGCGAAGGCAGCUUUCUGGAUCAUUACUGACACUGAGGAACGAAAGCAUGGGUAGCGAAGAGGAUUAGAUACCCUCGUAGUCCAUGCCGUAAACGAUGUGUGUUAGACGUUGGAAAUUUAUUUUCAGUGUCGCAGCGAAAGCGAUAAACACACCGCCUGGGGAGUACGACCGCAAGGUUAAAACUCAAAUGAAUUGACGGGGACCCGCACAAGUAGUGGAGCAUGUGGUUUAAUUCGAAGAUACGCGCAGAACCUUACCAACACUUGACAUGUUCGUCGCGACUCUAAGAGAUUAGAGUUUUCGGUUCGGCCGGACGAAACACAGGUGCUGCAUGGCUGUCGUCAGCUCGUGUCGUGAGAUGUUGGGUUAAGUCCCGCAACGAGCGCAACCCUCACUUUUAGUUGCCAUCAUUAAGUUGGGCACUCUGAAAGAACUGCCAGUGAUAAGCUGGAGGAAGGUGGGGAUGACGUCAAGUCCUCAUGGCCCUUACGUGUUGGGCUACACACGUGCUACAAUGGUAUCUACAACAGGAAGCAAGACUGCGAAGUUAAGCAAAUCCCUAAAAGAUACCUCAGUUCGGAUUGCACUCUGCAACUCGAGUGCAUGAAGCUGGAAUUACUAGUAAUCGUGGAUCAGCGUGCCACGGUGAAUGCGUUCCCGGGUCUUGUACACACCGCCCGUCACACCAUGGGAGUUGGUUCUACCUUAAGGCAAGGUUUUAAACCCUUGACCACGGUAUAGUCAGCGACUGGGGUGAAGUCGUAACAAGGUAGCCGUAGGGGAACCUGCGGCUGGAUUACCUCCUUU
rnacentral:rRNA from 1 species